GCGGCCAGGCCGGAGGCUGGAAACGUAAAUAAACAGGGCCUUCUGCUCAAUACCGGCAAUUCCCACACAAAUUCAUUAUAGGAUUCAGAAUCAGGAAUCAGAAUUCUAGGCGGUGGACAACCGUGUUCGUGUUUUGAUAUUAAUCGCAUUUGAUGGUGGCUUCCUGAACAUUAAUCGUUCUGUUCCGAUUAUUGUAAGAGGAACACGGCCCGGAAAUGUUCUUGACAUGAGCAAAGAAGUCCAUGGAGACAUUUUACCUGAAAGUAUAGGAAGAUCGGCCUGGAGGUGCACCUGUCCUGGACAUCAGCUGUGUGGUCCAUGGAAUCAUCAGAUAUAAGUUGAGUUGGGGUCACAGUGAUUACAGCUGGUCCAGUUAUUUUAUUCUAGUGUACAGUCUCUUUGAGUAAGCUUGAAUGAUCUUCUCUCUGGCACUAAAUUUUGUUUGCCAUCUAAAGUCACUUUUCACGAUAGGGGUGUUUGAAAACCUUGUGGUAGUUUUCUGAUGCCAUAAGUUACCCCUUUAAAUUUUCUAAAAUUUGUACCAAAAAUAUUGAUUAUCUUUUAUUUAAAAAAAAAUAUUAACUAUAUUUUCCCGAGGGCUGGGGGUGGUGGUGGGGAUGGGGACACCCACAGUGUGUGGAAGGGUCUAGCGGAGCCGUUCCGCUCAAGCUGUGGAGUCAGCAAACCCUUUGCCGUGGGUCAAACGUGCAAACCCUUGUGCCGUGGGUCAAACGGUGCACUCUUCGGGACACGCUUGACCUCAAGCGUCAAUGAGGCGGGCUGUACGGGGCCCAAUUGGUGUUUAAUCACGUUACCGUACUAUGCGUGAAAUUGCUGUGACGCAAUUUGCUGAGCAUUGAUCGCACCCGGGCGCGGGCAUACAGCGAAGAAGCAGCGUCCUGGCUUAUGUGUGACGAACCCUCCCUCCCCCUGCCCCCGCGCUCCUCGCGGCUGCGGUUGCUGUGGAGGUAGUAGCGGGCUGCCCCGCUACCGUCGUGACGUCACGGGUGUCUUGGGUGUUGCUGCGGUGGUUGUGGGGUGGUAGUAGCAGCAUCCUGCAGUAAGUCUACUACCGCCUCCACAGCUAACUAGAGUUGCAUCCGAGAAGCCUGUGACGUCACUGCGGUAGUGGUGGCAGUCUGCUACUACAUCCACAGUUACUGCAGCGUAGAAUCAGGUCAAUGAAAUCAUGUAAAAUGUUGGAUAGUAUUUUAAUUCUUUAUUGUUUCUAACAUUAUAAGCUUAAGUCUUCCUCAAGUAGCCGGCUUGUUUCUGCUGGUGACUUGGGACGAAUCUGAAUACCUGAAAAAGAAUGAAAAAAAUAUAAGUAAAUUCAAAUUAUCUCAGAGUUCAACACAAACGUGUUCUGGUCCAUCUGUAUCACUGUGACGCCAGCUCAUCGUAUGAACUUUCUAUGUUACAGGUGGCCAGCUUCAAGUCCAGGCACAUCCCUUUGGGCAAGAACCAGCAUCACUUCCUAUUUUACUACGACUGUACCAGACAAAUGAAAUAAAUAGCAGCAUUACUGU